AGCAGCCGCGGUAAUUCCAGCUCCAAUAGCGUAUAUUAAAGUUGCUGCAGUUAAAAAGCUCGUAGUUGAAUUUCGGGACUAAUAUGUCGGUCGUGCCUCGGUACGUACUGGUUUAUUGGUUUCUCCUUUCUGAAGAACCAUGAUGUCAUUUAUUUGGUGUCGUGGGGAAUCAGGACUGUUACUUUGAAAAAAUUAGAGUGUUUAAAGCAGGCUCACGCUUGAAUACAUUAGCAUGGAAUAAUGAAAUAGGACGUUUGAUUCUAUUUUGUUGGUUUCUAGGAUCGACGUAAUGAUUAAUAGGGAUAGUUGGGGGCAUUAGUAUUCAAUUGUCAGAGGUGAAAUUCUUGGAUUUAUUGAAGACUAACUACUGCGAAAGCAUUUGCCAAGGAUGUUUUCAUUAAUCAAGAGCGAAAGUUAGGGGAUCGAAGACGAUCAGAUACCGUCGUAGUCUUAACCAUAAACUAUGCCGACUAGGGAUCGGAUGAUGUUUAAUUUUUAAU
rnacentral:rRNA from 1 species